rnacentral:lncRNA from 1 species
UAUCCAGCUGUAAAAAAAACAUGUUUUGUCCUAAAGAGAUCGACUACACGAGUUAAAGAGGAACUCAAUCUGGUCUUCCACCGGCCAAGAGAUAGUGUACUAUGCGGGAUUCAGGGGCUUGGAUUGCAUCUUUCAUUAAAGUUUUUUCCUUCUUCUUUCAGAUGUAGUACAUAACUGAUUCAUGUACUAUAUAUAAACAUUUUGAUAAAAAAUUGCAGUAGGUUUUUAACCUACUGUUUUUCCUAAUUAAAAAAAACAGACUACACAAAGCUUCGGUGGAUCAGCGCAUGAGAUUAUUUUGUUUGGUUCGGAUUUUAUUCAAAUCUUACAUUGCUGGAACAACUACAAAAAGAAACAAAACCUAACUUCCCCUCUCAAAAAAAAACCUAACUUCCGUAUUUCAAGUUGGACUGUAAUCGGAUCAAUGCUCCCAUGGGUGCAACCUUGAAAGUAGCAGAAUUAAGUUGAUGGAAAAUCCCAGGCGCGCUAAUCUAUCGAGGAAUGAGCAAUGACAACAAUGCCGCACCGAUAUUUGUUCACAAGGUUCGGUGACGGUACAAUGACAGCCAUUAAUUAGCAACAGAUAGCAGGUAAAAAAAAUUAGGCUGGG